rnacentral:misc_RNA from 1 species
GCCGUGGGCUCGCUGGGCGGCGCGCUGACCGUGUGGCGCGUGCCGCUAGAUGACGCGCUACAGGACGCUGAGGGCGAGGAGCCACGCUUCUGGAGUGCGGCGGGCGUGGAGCGGUGGCUGCGAGAAUAUGUCACCAGACCGCCCGGCUCGACGGUGUCAGAGGAGGAGGAGACGCGAUUGCUCGACGCGGUCACUGAAGCAGAACUCACCGGCGACAAGUUGCUGGACACUCCGCUGAUGGAGUUGAUGAACUGUUUCGGAUAUGGAGGAGAACCCAGUGAAGACUCUGACGAGCCUCAUGAGGUUCGUGAGCGACUGCUAGAUGAAAUACUGUGGCUGCGUCGAGACUUUCUUCCUUACGAUUUGGUGAGUUUAAAUAACUGAUAUCGUUCUCUUACUGUUCUUUAUUAUUUAUUGCUUG